rnacentral:lncRNA from 12 species
CAUACUGCUCCUGAGAAAUUUUGCUGGAGCAACCGUGAAAGUAUGGACGCUACCUAAAAGGAAACUUUUGUUUAGCAUGUUCACCUGGAGUCUCUUACAUAGUCCUUGGUCAAGACAGCAGUCAUGGAAUGACAAAGUAGGAGAGUGGUGACUUGGAGGUGCUUUUCCAUAAAAGACAGGGAAAGAAAAAAAUCGUGCAUAGCUAGAGCACAACAGUUUCCCCAUCUGUGAGAAAUUGCUCUGAAAACAUGCAUAAAAUCCUAGCAAUAUGAGAAGAUGAGAGGAUGAAGGAAUGGCAAGACCUCUUCUGGUGUUAUUUCCAGACAAGAAAAAAGAAACCCAGUGCUGCAAGAAAUAUCACCAAAGCCCAAAUAUAUAUGCAUAGACGAUAGAGAUAUGGCAAACACCACUACAGAUGCUGUCAAAGACACAAUUCCAAGAAGCCUGGUAGUCAUGCCAUGUUACAGUCUAUUUGUGGCUGCUGCCACUCAGCUCUCCCCUGAUUAAAACCUAAAGUUUGAGAUGAGACGAGAAGGAGGGCUGAAGGAACAUCAGUUCCUGUAAGCCCCUCAUCUCUUCAGCUGUGAAUAUGAAAAUAAUCCCCCCACCAUCAUAACUCCAAGAACUGCGAUAUGUGAAGGACUUCCCAUAUUGUAUCUUCAUAAGAACCACCUACAGAUGAAGACACUGAUGUCAGAGGAAAGAGUG